UAAUACAUGCAGUCGAACGCACGAAGUUGAAGAGCUUGCUCUUUAACCGAGUGAGUGGCGGACGGGUGAGUAACACGUGGUAACCUGCCCAUUAGAGGGGGAUAACAUUCGGAAACGGAUGCUAAUACCGCAUAGUUUCAGGAAUCGCAUGAUUCUUGAAGGAAAGGUGGCUUCGGCUACCACUAAUGGAUGGACCCGCGGCGUAUUAGCUAGUUGGUGAGGUAAUGGCUCACCAAGGCAAUGAUACGUAGCCGACCUGAGAGGGUGAUCGGCCACACUGGGACUGAGACACGGCCCAGACUCCUACGGGAGGCAGCAGUAGGGAAUCUUCCGCAAUGGACGAAAGUCUGACGGAGCAACGCCGCGUGAGUGAAGAAGGUUUUCGGAUCGUAAAACUCUGUUGUUAAAGAAGAACAAGGAUGAGAGUAACUGCUCAUCCCCUGACGGUAUUUAACCAGAAAGCCACGGCUAACUACGUGCCAGCAGCCGCGGUAAU
rnacentral:rRNA from 1 species